GCCGGUUCCCAGGCCUGGCCAUUGGCUGCCGGAGAUGUUCAGCCCGCCUCGCCCCUUCCGGUCCUGGAUCUAGAGGGAGAAGUCGGGGAUUCUGCAGAAUUCACAUUCUCUGAAUGCAGGCGACCAAACACGAUUCGUCAGGCUCCCACCAGGCCUUGGUGCUUCUAUGUCUGGCGCUCUCGCACAGAGUACCCCAGAAGUUGUUUGAAGAACACUGCAAAUGAGAUACAUUUACACUGUGUCAUUACAUAGAGAAGUUACUCUGGUGCCAAGAACUGAGCUUUUCUGGGAGGACUUGAUGGAUAUGACAUCAUGCAACCUGCCAAGUUACACACACUUCCACAGCAGAGGAGAGAAGAGGAUGGGGCCCUUAGCAACUUUCCCAGGACCACAAGGCUACUCAAUGGUGAAUUCACUGAAGCAAAGGGAACUGGGAACCUUCCUGAAGAAUGUUUGGUGCUUUUCCAUUGCUUUUGAUCCAGGAACACUAGACUCUAAACAAGCAGGUAACAGUCUUCAUUAAGAACAAAGCAGUGUGGAGUCUUCAGUAGAUGUGGAGUCACAUCUGGGAUGGACAAGCCUGUGCAUUCUCACUUUGAUUGGCUCCACUCAGGUCACAUGUCUCUCAGCAAGCUAAGAGAAGAAAAGUAACUCCUGGUACUUCUCUAUUUCUGUAUAACAAAAUAUCCCAAAACUUAGUCUCCUAAGAGGAAAGCAAAUUCUUGUCUUUUGGCUUCCAUGGCUCAGGGAUGUGGGGCAGCUUGGCUGACCGAUUCUGGGCUUGAGUCUCCUGUGAGGUCACAUGCUUUUCACUGUAGCUACAGUCACCUGCAGGUUCAACUGGGCUCCUUGCUGCUUCAUCCUCUCCAGUAGAGCAUGC
rnacentral:lncRNA from 1 species